rnacentral:lncRNA from 1 species
AAAAUUGCACUUAGCUAUCUGGGGCACUUCUUGUUAUUGUCUCUAUUUCAUCCUGAGAGAUUCUGUAACCUCUGCCAAGGAGGCUCUUGUCCCCUUGGAUUGGAUGUGCGCAGCCGUUGUUCGUAGUCCGAUUUAGCCUCUCGCUCCAUCAGUUGCUCGUUGUCAUUACAUUGCACUUUCAGGUUUCUAGUUUCUAUAAAUGUUCGGCGCAAAAUGCCGCUUGGCCGAGAGAUCCAACAGGAACGAUGGCCUUGCCUUAAACAGGAAUAAUGAUGUGAUUUGCAAUGUUUUAAAUACUUGGGAUUAAGUGUCAAGACUUCAUGCUGGCUCUCUGCGCUGUAGUUCUCUUAUUAGUUCUCACGAUAUGCAUCUGAUGUUGUGUGGACUAAUCUGCCAAACUGUCUCCAACCAAAGUAUGUUUUCGAAUGCAAAAUGGGCUGUGCUUGUGCAUUAGUGUCCUCUGAGUGAGCAGAGGGCGAAAACAUUCUGGAACGUCUGAAGGCUAAAAAUGCGCCAACCUGGAACGAAUGCGUAUUUUGCUAAGCUUUUUCUUUCUUUUGGGCCGAGAAUGCCUAGUUAUCGAGUUAAUGGUGUUUCCCUUUUGUACUGGGUAAGAUGAUGCAAACCUGGGACUUGAGAACUUAUCAUGGCAUUCUUCUUAGGUCGCUUAGACUCUUCCUACUAUGGUCCAGCUAUUGCAUCUUUUUAGUCCCGAGUGAUUGCUAGCUUUUCCAGCUAGUAAGCCGGUGGUUUAUGUAUCUGACAUCUAUCUAUCUGCUGCUAUGUUCGAACGUCUGAACCGACUAUUGCCACUAUGAACAUCUACUGAAGUUUCAGAGAACGUCUCGGCAUGCAAAACCAACCUUGUUUGUGCAUGAAUUACAAUUGCCUCCCAUACUAAUGUUAUGUAAGUUUCCAAUUUGAGAAGCAGUGUCUUUUUUUCUGAAGAAAAUCACUCAAGGCAAUGGAAGCAAUUAUGUCAUCUUUGCAUUAUACCAUUGCCAUGGUCUUGAUGAAUCACGUGAGAACUCGCUUACAAAACGAGUGUUGUCCGUUCAGUUAUAGGGUGACAGUCCACAAAUUUUGGCCAUUGGUUGGUGCAGAUCAUAUGGUUCCUCUGCAUAGCUGUCAACCCGAUCGUCUCUAGAGUAUUCAUCACACCUAUCAUUUUUAGUCGUGAGAUCAUUUUCUGCUGUCUGAGUUGGAGUUCAUAUGGACAAAGAGUAAUGCAGCAUAUGGUGGGAUCUUGACUUAUAGAGGCUGUUUUUUCGCAGUAAUUUUGUGUGUGUGCGCUUUUUUUUUCUAAAAAUAGACGCAUAAUAUUGUCUGAGCAGUGGCGGGUACCGCUGGAAGCACACGUUUCAAGUAGGUUCAGGCUAAAAAAAGGAAGCUCAGAGCUUCUGAAUUUCUCGGCUGAGAAGCUUUCGAGCCAAUACUGUAUCAAAUUAAGCUAAAAAAAACUAGUGUGUCAAAUUUCCACACAAAAAAAUCACAAGUUUUUUUUGGGGUUGGAGCUCUUUUUUUUUUUUUUUUGAGGCAUUUUGGGGUUGGAGCUGUCUCUUGUUCCAUCGGGAAAGGCCGUUUGGCUGGGCCCUUUGCUUUGUGCUGGGCCGCGCUCGCUUUCGUUUUGCUGGGUGGGGGUGCCCGCCCGACCCGACCGCGCGGCAGGUAAAAAACGAUUUGUGGUGCGCGAACCGCGAAUCCUCAAAAUCCCCAAUCUCCAUUUCCCCGCUCUAACCCUAGCUAGACACAGACCGCCCGUGCGGUGCGGUGCGGCUGCGGUUGCGGCGGGAGAGGAGCCUCCGCCGGCGAAGCGAGGUCGCGCGACUCGCGUGCUCGAGGGAGGGGAGAGGAGGCGAGGUGGUCUUUGGUUCUCGGCGGCGUGCAGUUCGACGCGGUGGCGGUAAGCUCGGACCUCCUUUUUUUUCCGCCCUCACAUGGCUGCGCAGAGGUAGAGAUGAAGUAGAAAACAUGUCUCGGAAUCAACUGGUUCACGGUACCAUUAUGCUACUCUCUGUUUAGACAUCUGCAUAUCACCGUAGUCACUGAAACUUACAAAUGGUGCAGAAAUUGCUGUCCACCGUAGCCACUGAAACCUAUAAACGGUGCAGAAAUUUCUGUCCACAGCUGCCGGGUCUCUUUGUCGCUGAUGCAGUUUUGGUUGGUUGAUCCGGAUUCGUGCCGUCUUUCCCAAUGCCAAAUGCACCGGUUGCUUGUUCUGUCCAAUGUUUCAGUGUAAACUAUUUCUAACCUGCAUGGUUUUCGCGCUCAUGCACACAUUCUGCUGUGCAGAGAGUCAUAUUCAGGCCGUGUUGUGGUGGUGUAGUACUCACUUUGUAUUUCAUCUGCAUGUUGAUAUGUGUACUUGACCAUGCCUUUAAUUAGUUUUAAACCAGCUUGAUUUUUCAACAUUUUAGGCAUCAUAUGUAUAUUGAUUUGCUAAUGAUUAUUUAGUCAAUGGCCACACAAGGCUCCAUAUUUGCUGUCCGCUACUUAAUUCCUUAUUUACCCAUUCUCAGUAGAUAAACUUAAACAUCUGUUAAACUUUACCUGGACUUCAUGUCACUUGCCAGUAUAUUACUCUUAGUUUAAUCAUAAUCUUUACACAGUUUGGCCUUUUUUUUAUGUCUGUUUGCAGAAGGAUUCGGUACCUAGGUUUCCCCGGGAGCCUACAUUUUGCUUACUAUGGCUUCUGAGGAAAUCAAAUCAAAGAAGCAAAGAAAUGAUGAAUGCAUUAUAAACUGUCUCCCAGAGGACCUCAUUGAGCGGAUAUUUUUGAGGCUUCCAGUGAGCACUUUGUUGAGGUGCGUCAGUGUCUGCAAGCACUGGCACAACUUCAUCCGUGAUCCACAGUUUGUCGUAUCACACCUUCAGUGUGCGCCCCGAGAUGUCCUUCUGUUCUUCCAGCAAGAGUCGAUCUCAGGCGAGCCCUACCAUAGUGAUGCUAUCCUAAUUGAUGAAGCCUGGUCGCCAUCGACAUGCGCAGUGCCAGUGAUUGGGCCUGAUGAUUUCCUUUUUGGUUCAUGCAAUGGACUCCUUGGCUUAUACACAAAGGCAUCAACUAUCAAGAUAGCUAACCUUGCAACUGGUGAAUGUCUACAUCUUGAGAAACCUGCGAAGAAUGUGAAGGGUGAUCACUUCUCUUUCUACAGCUUUGGAUUUCAUCCUGUGACAAAAGAAUACAAGAUUACACACUUCCUUGGUGAUUGUGUUGAGGGUCGCCCCCAUAAUAAAGACAGGUUCAGCACCAUUCAAGUUUACACGCUUGGUGAUGAGAAAUGGAAAGAUAUCCGAACUCCAGAAGCUCUUAGCUUGAUCAGUGUAAGAAACUCUGGAGUUAUCAAUGUUGAUGGCAAAAUGUAUUGGUUGACUGAAGAAAUGUUAGCUAGCUGGCAGCAUGCAGUUAUGUCCUUUGAUCUCAGGGAAGAAAGUUUUGCAAUGAUUCAACUGCCUGCAGCACGUGAAGAUCAUGAUUAUUUUGGUCCUCGCAAGUUCUGGAUCAGAGAUAUAGAUGGGAAAAUAUGUAUAGUAACUGCUCAAAUAAGUCGUUAUGGUCCCAAAGCUCUUGCUGGUGAGUUGCAGAUCUGGACACUCGACAACACGGUAGAGCAACAAAGGUGGAGCCAGAAAUACAAUAUUAAGAACCCACCAAAUUACAUUCCAGGUCCACAUUUUGUUCACAGGGAUAGGAUCCUCGCACAACUUUGCAGCGAUAACGUAUAUGCGUAUGAGUUGUUCGGCGAGAACUUUGAUGUUAACCUGUGUAAGGGGGUAAACCUGUUAGAUUUCAGCCUCCACAAGCCGUACAACAUGCAAUCCUACAUAUGUGUGAAGUCACUUGUCCAUUUAGAUGUAUACAAGAAGGCUGGCAUUGUACGUAGACCAAAACAGUGGGAAGGCUGGCAGUUGAAGAAGUGGGAGACAUGGAAGCGUAGGCUUAGCAAGUUAGCGGAUUUGCAGUGCCGGAUGCACAAAUUUGAGCACCACUUACUUGUAUGUUGGCCAGACUGUUAUUAUUAGGCCUUGAUGAAUAUUAAUUAUCAUUUUAAGAUUUGACAAACUGCUAGUUUGCCAUUUUGUAGGAAGUCGCAGAAACAAUGGGGAAAAGGUGCCAGUUUUUGAAGGAUAAGCAACAUAACAUAGCAGAACAUGUACUCACGGAACUCAAACAGGUGUUGCAGCACAAACCAGAUAAUCCAGAUCAGGUAAUUUUUUUUACUGAAAUGAUAGAAUGUAUGUUACCACACUUUUCACAUGUUUGUUCAAAACGUUUAUAAUUAGUUAGGCCAAAUGCAUGAUAAUAUUUUAAGUGCAUUGUAACUACUGUGUUAACAAGUGUCUUGCAAGUGUCCAAUAGCUAAGGUCCAUCAGGAGGCUUAAUUGGGUGGAGUACAGUCAGGCCCAGCGGAAGUUAGAGGUUCGUUUAAGUAAGACGGAAGACAUGAUGAAGGUACAGUGUGUUAGUGUGCUCACAUUUGUUGAUGUACUAACAUUAUUUACUUCUGUUGGUGAAAUAUGCCACAUUUGACAAAGUUGUCCUUCCUAUAGGUUGUGCAGCAGGCACAGGAUAUGUUGGAUCAGGUAAAUUUGCAUUGGUUCUUACUUGACUUCUAAAUUAUCCAUGUUUUCAGCAACAACCUUCCAGUUCUCGUUUCUGUUCUGGCCUGCUGGUCUCAUUUGCUGUAGUUACGAUGCCUGUUAACUUAUCUUCAGAAAUAAGCAACUUAGCCUACUGUCUAUCUAUUUUCUUGUAUGCAUUUUGAGUCUCAUUGUUUGAUGGAAUACUUUGUACAUGCUGAGCAGUGAGCAUGGUUGUGCACUUGUGCUUGUGCUAAUCGAGCACUGAAAUAUCUUACAUUGAUGGUGCAUAAGUAACUAUUCAGAUGUUUCUGUUGUUGUUAAGUAACUAUAAGAGAGGCAUGAUAGAUUGAGCUAUUCCAUAUACCUGUGAACAGCAGAUUAAGUUACAAGAAUGGAGAUCUGAAACAAAGAACUUUGUGAGUAGUAGCCAAGAAGAUUAUUUUUAUCAUCCACUACAAAAUUUUGUUUUAAUCUGUAUUGUUCUGGUUUUGAUAUCCUGAUCCACGUUUACUUUUGGCAGGAUGCGUCAGUUGGUGGCGCCUCUUCCAGUGACGGUCCUGACAAGGAGGAACAAGGGAGCCUUCAGCAUUAAACCUGGCUUUCCUGGGGCAGUUCUUACUAAUUGUCUCUGUUCCGUCCUGAGAGAUUCUGCAAGUUCUACAAGGAGAUUCUUGCUCCCUUGGAUUGGACGUGCGCAACCAUUGUCCGCGCGCCGAUUCGGCCUCUUGCUCCAUCAGUUGCUUGUCAUUGCAUUGCAAUUCAAGUUUGUGGUUUCUACAAAUGUCGUGGGCACAAUGCUGCUUGGCCCUUAGAGAUCCGACUGGAACAUUGCUCCUUACCUCGAACAGAAAGAGUGGUUCAUUUUAUGAAUAGAUUUUAAGCACUUUGCCAUGUUUAAAAACUUGAGACACGCUACCAGACUUCAUACUGGUUUUCUGUGUCGUUGCUGAUCCAGUUCUCACGGUAUACACUUGGCGCCGUGAUUUAAACCUUCGCCGUGCUAGGUUUUGAUGUCACCGCCGUCCUGUGCUACUAGGUCUCCGGAUAUCGUCUUGUCCCUCCCUGUUGUUUCCUGUCAAUAAUCUGACCUUCUGCUCACACCUUGUGUGUGUUCUAGGGCACAUGGUCGUCCACCACACAAAACCCUAGCUCAUUCCGUCUUGUCGACUGGAUCUGGAAGGAGAACGUGGAAGGCCUGAUGAAGUAGAGAGGUAGGGACUCAGAAAUUGGGAGGGUUGGAGUAGUAGAAGUGCAGGCGAUCAGUAAGCUCUUGUCCGUGAAGCCGGUGCAGCCGAGCAAGCAAAACUACUAUAGAGAGAAGCAAGUCACGAGCCACGAUUGUGUUUUUAAAAGCAGCACUAAAACCUCCGGUAAUUGUGACCUCUGAUCGGCAACAUAACAUUAAACGAUUUUCUGAACGGAAUGGACGAUGCAGUAGCAAUCAAACUGAAAAAAAUGGCAAAUGCAUACCCCAGUCCCUGGCAGCUCCAUAACAUUUAGGAUCCGCGCCCUGCCAUCUAGUGCGGCCAUAACUCUGUUCCACAUCUCCUCGCAAGAUUUGUAGACAAGCAACAUUUUCAAGACCUCUUCUUCUCAGACAUUUUGCUUUUUGCAAAGUAAAAUAAAAUUCACGCCUUAUAAAUGCCUAGCCCGAGAAGAAAGUUCAGAUCACCGACAUUCAUGCCAACUUGUACCUGUAUAGUCAGGUUUUCUUUAGAAGCAGUAGACAUUCCUUUUUUUUAAGGAUCAGUAGACUUUUUUUUGUUAGGCCAUUGAGGAUCAGUAGGCAUUCCUAUGCUCCCUUCCCCGGCCACUCAGGCCGCGCGAGGCCGUGCGUUUUCCCUUCGCCGAGUGCUCGCGCGCCCUGACGCCCUCGCAUUUCUCGGCAUAGGUUGCCAGAUUUACGCUCAGAAAACAUGUUUCGAGAAUCAACUAAUUCAUGGUAUCAUUAUGUUACUGCCUGAGUAAAUGGCAUUGGCGGUCCGAUAACUUGCGCUGCGGGUGCACUUAGGGCAUGUACAAUGGUGCUAUCUUAGGAGUGCCAUGUAGGAUAAAUGAUGAGGUGGAGGAGAGAGAACUCAUAAGAAAAGGCUUGUCUUCUCUUAUUUAAGAUAAGACAAGAGAUGAUAUCUUAGCACAAUAUGUGUCACCACGUUUUUAGGAAUAACUAGUUAUGAAGAUAAGGCUAAGAAAUGACCCAUUGUAGACAUCUUUUUUUGUCAUCUCUUAAUUACAUGCAAGACUUAAGAUAAGACUAUUUUAUCAAUCAUUGUACAUGCCCUUAAGUCACGGUACUUGCAAAUCGGAAAAACCCGUCAUAGAACUUGCAUUACGGGUGCAGAUAGGUCACACAGGUCAUCUGGAUCGGCCAGCUGCCUGGUUUUCUCCCUCUAACGGUUAAGCGCGAUAAAUUUGUUCACGACUUUAAAAAUAUAUGUGAUUCGCGACUUUAAAAAAAUGUUCGUGAAUGAUAACUUUGAAAACUAUUUAUUCACGACUUUAAAAAAAUAUCCACGAACUUCUAAAAAUAAAUAUUUGUGAUUCGCGACUUUAAAAAAAUGUGCGCGAACGAUAAAUUAAAAAAUAAUUAUUAAAAAUAUUUGUGAUCCGUGACUUUAAAAAAAUGUCCAGGAACGAAAAUUUUGAAAAUGUUUUGGAAUGAUAAAUUUGAAAAUGUUCGUGAAUGAUUAAUUGGAAAACUAUUUGUUCACGACUUUAAAAAAAUGGUCGAGAACGAUAAAUUUGAAAAAUAUUUGUGAUUCGCGAACAUUUUUUUAAAGUUGUGAGCAUUUAAAAAAAUAUUUGUGAUUCCCGACUUAAAAAAAAGGUCGAGAACAAUAAAUUUAAAAAUAUUUAUUAAAAAUAUUUGCGAUUCGUGAUUUUAAAAAAUGUCCACGAACGAAAAAUUUGAAAAUAUUUCGAACAAUAAAUUUGAAAAUGUUCAUGAACGAUUAAUUUGAAAACUAUUUGUUCACAACUUUAAAAAAUGGUCGAGAAUGAUAAAUUUGUAAAAUAUUUGUGAUUCGCGAACAUUUUUUUAAGUUGUGAACAUUUAAAAAAAUUGUGAUUCACGACUUUAAAAAAAUGUUCUCGAACGAUAAAUUAAAAAAUAUUUAUUAAAAAACUUUGUGAUUCGUGACUUUAAAAAAAUGUUCAUAAACGAAAAAUUUGAAAUGUGACCUAUCUGCACCCGCAACGCAAGUUCUAUGACGGGUUUUUCUCGAAAACCGGGCAGCUGGCCGAUUCAGAUGUCAUAUGUGACCUAUCUGCACCCGGAAUGCAAGUUCUAUGACGGAUUUUUUCAGUUUGCAAGUACCGUAAUUUAAGUGCACCCGCAGCACAAGUUCUCGGACCGCCAGUGCCAUUUACUCUUACUGCCUGCUCCGCGUAUUACCCGAAACUCACAAAAUGGCAGAAAUUGAUGUCCGCCGUAGCUGGAACUUAUAACUGGUGCCGAAAUUGCUGUCCACGGCCGGUUCUCUUUGUCGCUGAUGCAGUUUUUGCUGGCUGAUCCGGAUUCGUGCGCCUUUCCCAACGCCAAAUGCACAGUUUGCUUGUUCUGUCCGAUGCUUCAGUGUAAACUAUUUCUAUGUUGUACGGUUGUUGCGCUGAUGCACACAUUCUGCUGUGCAAAGAGUCGGUCAGGGCAUGUGUUGUGGUGGUGCACUUGACCCUGCCUUUAGUUUUAAACUAGCUUUAUCUUUCAACAUUUUCGGAACAUACGUAUAUUGAUGUGCUUACAAUUAUUAGUCAAUGGCCAUACAAGGCUCCAUAUUUGCCACAGAUCCGCCACUUAUUUCUUUCUUUACCCAUUCUCAGUAGAUAAACUUAAAACAUCUGAUAAACUUUACCUAAACUUGAUGUCACUUGCCAGCAAAUUACUGUUAAUCAUAAUCUUUACAGAGUUUGCCCUAUUGUUUUUUGUAUGUGUGUUUGCAUAAGGAUUCGGUGCCUAGGUCUCCUUGGGAGUCUAGAUUUUGCCUGCUUUGAUUUCUGAGGAAACCAAAGCAAAGAAGCAAAGAAAUGAGGAAUGCAUUAUAAACAGUCUCCCAGAAGACCUCAUUGAGCGGAUAUUUUUGAGGCUUCCAGUCAGCACUUUGUUGAGGUGCGUUGGUGUCUGCAAGCACUGGCACAACUUCAUCUAGGAUCCACAGUUUGUCGCAUCACACCUCCAGUGUGCGCCCCGAGAUGCCCUUCUGUUCUUCCCGCAAGAGUCAGCCUCAGGCAGGCCCUACCCUAGUGAUGCUAUUGCUAUACUGGUUGACGAAGCCUGGUCGCCAUCGACAUAUGCAGUGCCAGUGAUUGGGCCUGAUGAUUUCCUUUUUGGUUCAUGCAAUGGACUCCUUGGCUUAUACACAAAGACAUCAACUAUCAAGAUAGCUAACCUUGCAACUGGUGAAUGUCUCCAUCUUGAGAAACCUGCGAAGAAUGUUAAAGGUGAUCACUUCUCUUUCUACAGCUUUGGAUUUCAUCCCGUGACAAAAGAAUACAAGAUUACACACUUCCUUGGUGAUUGUGUUAAGGGCCGCCCCCAUAAUAAAGAUAGGUUCGGUGUCAUUCAAGUUUACACGCUUGGUGAUGAGAAAUGGAAAGAUAUCCGAACCCCAGAAGCUCUUAGCUUGAUCAUUGUGAGAAACUCUGGAAUUGUCAAUGUUGAUGGCAAAAUGUAUUGGUUAACUGAAGACAUGUUAGCUAGCUGGCAGCAUGCAGUUAUUUCCUUUGAUCACUCAGGGAAGAAAGUUUUGCAACGAUACAACUGCCAGCAGCACAUGAAGAUCAUGAUCGUUACGGUCCUUGUAAGUUCUGGAUCAGAGAUAUAGGUGGGAAAAUAUGUAUAGUAACUGCUCAAACAAGUCGUUAUGAUCCCGGAACUGCUCUUGGUGAGAUGCAGAUAUGGACACUUGACAACACGGUAGUGCAACAAAGGUGGAGUCAGAAGUACAAUAUUAAGUACUCACCAAAUUAUAUUCCAGGUCCACAUUUUGUCCACAGGGAUAGGAUCCUGCAGCAAUAAUGUAUGUUCAUGUGAGUUGUUCGGUGAGAACUUUGAUGUUAACCAGAGUGGGUACACCUGUUGGAUUUCAGUCCCCGCAAGCCAUGCAACAUGCAAUCCUACAUUUGUGUGAAGUCACUUGUACGUUUAGAUGUCUACAAGAAGGCUGGAAUUGUACGUAGACCAAAACAGCGGGAAGGCUGGGAAUUGAAGAAGUGGGAGACAUGGAAGUGUAUGCUUGGCAAGGAUGCGGAUGUGCGGAGCCAGAUCCACAAAUUUGAGCAUGACUUACUUGUAUGUGUGCCAGACUGUUAUUAUUAAGCCUUGAUGAAUAUUAUUAUUUUAAGAUUUGACAAACUACUAAUUUGCUAUUUUGUAGGAACUCACAGAAACAUCGAGUAAAAUGUGCAAGUUUUUGCAGAAUAAGCAAUAUAACAUUGCAGAACAUGUACUCACGGAACUCAAUCAGCUGUUGCAGCGCAAACCAGAUAAUCCAGAUCAGGUAAUUCUCUCCUCAAAUGAUAGAACACAUGUUAUCACACCUUUUCUGUGUUAGUUCAAAACAUUAAUAAUUAUCUAAGGCCAAAUGCAUAAUAAUAUUUUAAGUGCAUUGUAACUAUGGCGUUAACAAGUUUCUUGCAAUUAUCUAAUAGCCAUUGUCUGUCCGGAGGCUUAAUUGGGUGGAGCAGAAUCGGGAGCAGCAGAAGUUAAUGGCUCGUUUAAGUAAGAUAAAACACAUGAUUAAGGUACAGUGUGACAGUGUGCUUGCAUUUAUUGAUGCACUAACACUAUUUACUAUUGUUGGUGAAAUAUGCCAUAUUUGACAAAGUUGUCUUCCGUAUAGGUCGUGAAGCAGGCAAUGGAUAACAUCUCUAGUAUUAGAAUAUUGGAUCAGGUGAACUUUUGCAUGGGCUCUAACUUCUAAAUUAUCCAUGUUUUCAGCAACCUUUAUAGUUCUUGUUUCUUGUUUCUGUUGUGUCGUACUGGUCUCAUUUGCUGUAAUUAUGAAGCCUAUUAACUUAUCUUCAGAACUAAGCAACUUAUCCUACUGUCUGUCCAUUUUCUUGCAUGCAUUUUCAGUUUCAUGUUUGGUGGAAUAUUUUGUACAUGCUGAGCGAUGAGCAUAGUUGUGCUAAUUGAGCAUGGGAUUUUGUUACUUUGAUUGUGCAUAAGUAACUAUUCACUGGUUUCUUCUUCUUCUUCUUGUUCUAUUCCAUAUACCUAUGAACAGUAGAUUAAGUUACAAGCUAGAGUUCUAAAACAAAGAAUUUUGUGAGUAGCCUAGAAGAUUAUUCUGUCACAAAUUUUCAUUUUCAUCUGUAUUGUUCUGAUUCCUGUCUUGAAAUUUAGCAACAUUGUGUCCCGUGUUUCCUGUUAGAGAGGAACAUCGAUAUCUGAUAUGUCACCUUAUUUUUCAUCAGAAUUUUGCAUGCUGCCUCACAUGGGACGAAAGUUGCGAGCGCUUCUUGUAUUUGAUAUUCUGACCCAUAUUCACUUUUGGCAGGGUACAUCAGCUGCUGGCGUUUCUUCCAGUGACGGUUAUGACAAGAAGAAAGAGAGCCUUUAGCAUUGAACUUAGCUUUCUGGGGCACUUCGUUUCGUCUCUGAGUGAUUCUGCAACUUGUACAAGGAGAGUCUUCCUCCCUUGGAUUGGAUGGCCUCUUUUGCUCCAUCAGUUGCUUGUCAUUACAUUGCACUUUCAGGUUUCUAGUUUCUACAAGAUGUCCAGCGCGCAAUGCUGCUUGGCCCGAGAAAUCCGACAGCAAC